GCCAGCAGCCAUAUCAAUCUGCCACUCGCAACCCGCAACCCACUGAAGCUAAGCAGGUGUGAGCCUGGUCAGUACCUGGAUGGGAGACCUCCUGGGAAAAACUAAGGUUGCUGCUGGAA
rfam:Lepisosteus oculatus linkage group LG11, whole genome shotgun sequence.